ACAUUUUUUUUCAGUAGUAGUUUAUUUUUUCAAUUACCUAUAAAGAUAGUUUUCAGUAUUCAUUUUUUGUAAAAUUUUGAGUUCUAAAUUUCUUUCUCCUUUCUUUACUUCCCUACCUCCAGCAAACAAUCUGAUAAAGGUUAUACAUAUAUAAUAUUUUAAAACAUUUUUCCAUAUUAGUCAUGUUGUGAAAGAAAAAUCAGAACAAAGGAAAAACCACAGAAAUAAAAAUCAAACCAACCCCCCCCCAAAAAAAAAGGUGAAAAUAGUAUGGUUUGGUCCACAUUCCUCCAUAAUUCUGUAUAUGGGUGGCAUUUUCCAUCCCAAGUCUAUUAGAAUUGUCUUGGAUCAUUGUAUUGCUGAAAAGGCCAAGUCUAAUAUAGUUAAUCAUCACAUAAUCUUGCUGUUACAGUGUACAAUGUUCUCUUGGUUCUACUCACCUCACUCAGCAUCAGUUCCUGUGAGUAUUUCCAGACUUUUCUGAAAUCAGCCUGCAUAUUUAGAAAUGACAUUUAAAAAAAAAUAAGAUGAUCAGAAAAAUGCAAAUUGAGACAAUUCUGAGGGUACCACUACUUACUUCGCAGAUUGGCUAAGAUGACAGGAAAAGAUAAUGACGAAUGUUGGAGGGUAUGUGGGAAAACUGGGACACUGAUACAUUGUUGGUGGAGUUGUGAAUUGAUCCAACCAUUCUGGAGAGCAAUUUGUAACUAUGCUCAAAGAGUUAUCAAAUUGUGCAUAGACCAAGCAGUAUUUCUACUGGGCUUAUAUCCCAAAGAGAUCAUAAAGGAGGGAAAGGGACAUGGCUCUUUUCAAUUACAAAGGGGUAAUUGAGGCCAGUUCCAAUGGUCUUGUGAUGAAGAGAACCAUCUGCAUCCAGAGAGAGAACUGAGGCAACUGAAUUGUGGAUCACAACAUAGCAUUUUUACUCUUUUUGUUGUUGUUAGCUUGCAUUUUGUUUUUUCUCUUUUUUCUUCCUUUUUAAUCUGAUUUUUCUUGUGCAGCAAGAUAAUUAUAUAAAUAUAUAUACAAAUAUUGGAUUUAACAUAUUUUUAACAUGUUCAACAUAUAUUGGAUUAUUUACUAUCUGGAGAGGGGAUGGGGGGAAGAGGGAGAAAUUAGGAUCACAAGGUUUUGCAAGGGUCCAUGUUGAAAAAUUAUCCAUGUAUAUGUUUUGAAAAUAAAAAGCUUUAAUUAAAAAAAAAAAAAAGAUUUUAAAAAAAGGUCCAUGCUGUAGGCAGCAUAGUUUUAAGGGUACUGUUCAUGAUUCUUCAAGAUGUCUGAAAUAGGAAAGGAUGCCAGAAAUUUAGGGGGAAAAUUGCAUAUGCUUUUAUUCCCCAAAAAGCAAUUGAAAAAUACCACUAACAGCUAAUCAAUAUGCCUAUUUUAUUAUCUCCACAAAAUCUUUUUGAGAAUAAUCAGUUUGAGAACUGAACAAUCAAAGGUCUCUGAUGAAAAUUUGAAAAAUAGAACAGGAAGGCUUUCAAAAUCAUAUUCUACAGACCACAUUUUUAUGGUAACACUGUUGACUGAAUGGUUCAGAAAAUAGAAGAUGCUAUUAUGCUUGUGUGGAUAAAUUGUCCAUGAUUUAAAAAAAAUAAAUUGAUUCAGUAGAGCAAAAUGUUCUCCAACCACACGUUUUCUACUCUUAUCCUAAAAUCUUCGAAUCCUUAGAAGUUUAAUAACAGAAAUAACUUUGACUCUAACAUUAUCAUCAUCAAGGAAUAAAAUAGGGCAAUUUAUGCUUACUAAAUUGGGGCAGCUAGGUGGCCUAGGGGAUAGAGCACUAGCCCUGAGGACCUAAGUUCAAAUAUGAUCUCAGAUAAUUAACACUUCCUGGCUGUGUGAUCCUGGGCAAGUCACUUAACCCCAAUUGCUUCAAGGGGAAUAUAUUGAUUAUUUUUGUGAUGGAGAAUGCCCAGCAUGAAUUUCAAAUAGAAAAAUAUGGGGAGUAUUUUGUUUCUGGGAAGCUUGGGAUCAUUCAAAGCAUUAUUCAAUUUACCAAAUGCAAUUAUAGGUAUAAUAUCUUAAUCAAAUAUUUUCAUUGUCUAUCCACUAUAUAUACAUGUUUUUGUAUGUAUAACUGUGUAAGUAUGUAUACAUAAUACACACAUACAAACAGAAAAAAAGUGCCUCUUUCUUGCAUAUAACUGUAUACAAACACAUACAAACACACACAUGCUAACACCAAUGGAACAGCUGUCCAAUCAUAUUCUGGAUAAUAGGCAGUUAUCAUGCAUUUUGUUUUUUCUUCUUCAACAGCCUAAUCUCUCAGGAGUGAUUUUGGGUUUCAUUUAAGAACAUUUAGAGAACUUCAUUAUCUAAUGGAAACCUUACCAUUUGGAUCCCAUAACAAUGACUCAUACUUUGGCCUGGCAAGAUAUUUCCGGAUCCUGACUCUGUUGUCCAACAUGUUAACUGAUGCUUCCAGGUUUGUGUCAUUUGCAGAUCUGUUAUGUAUGUCACUGCUACUUCCAUCUAAAUUAUUGAUAAAAAUGUUAAACAGCACAGGGUAAAUAGAAAUCACUGAACACUUGACUAGAUAGCUCCAUUUAAGUUGAUACUGACCCACUAAUCACUACUUUGUCUCAUUCAUAUAACUAGACUAUCAUCUAAUGCACCUCUCUCCAUCUUGUCUUGAAGAACAGUUGGAGAAAUUUUGCCCCAUACUUUGCUGAAACUUAGAUUAUUUUUUGCCUACAAGAUUUUCCUGAUCUACCAAACUAGAGAACCUCUCAAGAAAGAAAAUAAAGUUAGGCUGGCUUGCCCUCUUAUUGAUGAAGUUAUCUUAGCUCCUACUAAUUAUUGUUUCCCUUUCUAAAUUUCUAAAAGAAGAAUUAUAUGCUAAAAUUUCAUCAUGAAUUAAAGUCAUACUUCUCAGCUUUUAUAAAAUAUUUGUGCUUCUUCAGUCCUGAAGCAUUUCUAUGGUAUACAAGUUUUAAAUGAUCAUUGACAUUGGCUCAGCAAUUAGAUCCCCCAAUUCUUCUACUAGCACCCUAGUAUAUAGUUUACUUUGGCCUAGUGACUUGAAUUCAUUCUCUUAAAGUUUCUCAUUAAUGUUGGGUUUCAGCUCCUUGCUAACCCCCCUCUUUUUUUUUUAAUGUAGAGAAAGUAGAUGCAAAUUAACUGAGUAGUUAUACUUUCUCUCUGUCUUAUUAUUACCUCUUAUCAUUGUCCCAUCUACCCUGAAUGAUGAAUCCAUCCUUUGAGCUUCCUCUUGAACUCAUUAUAGCUUUGUCAUUCUUAGCAUUCGACUUCUGAGUUUUCUAUUUCUUGACAAUACUUAGAGGAUCAGGCUUCUUUUGUAUUCCUUUGUCAUUACCUGUCCUUGUCUUCCCAGCACUUAGCACAGUGCUUGGCUUAUAAUAAGGCACUUUUAGAAUGCUGGGUCACUGAAUUCUAUCUUCUGUGCAUGUCUUGAAAAUAACUGCAUUAUAACUCUAUAACUGAACAAAAACAUAAAUAAAUAUAAAAGGAGUAAAAUCUUAAAUAAAAUCCUUAAGCUUU